GCCGCGAAUGCAUGAAUGUCCGUUGAAAUAUAGAAGGCUAGCUUCGUAAUAAUAACUCAGUUUUGUGGGUAGUUAUGGGAGGGGACAAAUAUACUAAGCUACACGCGGGAUCAACAGCACAGCACACAACAGAUGGAAACUGCUAAACCUAGUCAAAUGGCUAAAGUCCCAAGUUACUUGAGGACUCCCAAUAAAAAGGAGCCACGUGGCUUUGAAGUCACCACGCGCCUUAUUAUUGUUUCUGUUUGUCAAACUACAGCCAAACCUCUAUAAAUUAAUAGCAUUAGCAUCGGGACCAACAAAAUCUAUUAAUUUAAAGAAAUAUUAAAUAAUCGAUAAAUCAUUAAUUUAUUAAUUAAUUAAAUAGAUGGUGUUACAUGUUUAAGAUGAUGAAGUCGAAGAAUGAUAGUUCUACUAUAGAGCCCGUUUAGCAAAAAGAAGCUCUCAAUGCUGUGAUGAUGUUGAUUAAUUUUUUGUUGAAUAUCACACCAUCACUUUUCAUCAUGUUAGAAAGUUAGAGAUUAUAUCUAAAGUGACAUCAAUUUUAAGAAGAAAUAAAUAAUGAUUGAGUCAUAUUUUAUAAAGGCUUUAUAGUCGAAUCAUAAACACUAUGUAUCAGGAAAUUAUUAAUUUAUAUAUUACGUGGGACUUAUAUGUUUUUUUUAUUGUAUUAUCUUCUAAGUUUGGCAAAUUAUUAAUUUAACAAUAGUCAACUAAAUCUUUCUCAUUCUUCGUUUCACCAACGCAAAACCCUAGCCGUUAUCUAUAGAAUAAAAUCUAAGGGAAAAUUUCCUCAGUCGUCGACCCUUGCAAUUGGCUUUGGGGUUGGCGACAAUCUUCCUUGGUAU
rnacentral:lncRNA from 1 species